AGAAUAUUAGAUAAACGAGUUAAAGACAAAAUAAACGAUCAAACCAGUUGUAAUAUUAUGGCCUAGACCGAAAGAUUGAAUAGUGACCUCGUCCUAGAUUGGACCCUUGGUUCGAGCCCAGUUUUGAAUGAAGAACAAAACAGUUAAAUAAGAACUUUAGCAAUAAUUAAAAGGCAGAAAAAUAAACUUGUAUUACUUUGAUUUGCGUAUUAGACUGUGUUAUAAAAGAAAAACUUUUUCUUUAUAUAAUGAGUUUCAUCAUCCCUAGUAUAAAUCUAAAAAAGGUAAAAAUAUUUCUUUCUCCUUAAUUACUGAUCUAUAACCGAGAUCGAGCGAGAUCCGUGUCAUGAUAUCUGGUUAGGUGCGAAUAUCACGGCCUUCUAUCCGUCAUGUGUAACCGUUUACCGUGUUUCCCGAGGUCUUAGAACUUGUUCUGGGUUCGGGACGCGUUGCUUUAUCAUACCCGAUGAUGAACACAUCGUUCACUUUUAAGGGAUCUCGAUACGAAGGGCUCCCAGGUUCGAUUUCAAUCUCGUACGUCCAUGCCCUUCUUAUGUUUUCUUCACCGGGAAAUCGGGGUAUGCAUUAUACCCGAUUUUACCCGUAUACACAUUUCACAGAUUACUGAGAACUUAGGAGUUAAGUAUUCUUUCUUAGAUAAAGUGUUGGAUGAAGAAAAUUAAUUAUACUAAGAUAUAUGCAAAUUCUUGGUUGUAAUAGGAAGGUACGAUAAGUGGAGUUUGAUUAAGCUUUUACAAUUUGGCAUUGAAUCAAAGAGGAUCCGUAUAUGCUGGAAAAUGAUAAGCGUAUAUUUGGAAAAGGAGAAAGUUGAGGCAAUAACUCUACCUCUUUUUUGCUAACAGUAUGUUCAGUCUGUUUUUUUAACUAAUUUUUGUUAGGUUUCGUGAAUGGGCGUGAAUGGGAAAUGAAAGAGGCACCUUUUGAAUUGCACCUCUUCAUCUCACCCUUUCAUUGUCUAUAAAUUUUAGAGACUUAGCCUCAUUUUCAUACAAGGAAAAAACCCAGAAAUUCUCCCUGUCUUCUUUGCAUUAUUUUUCCAAAACAAAAUAUAAGUGUCAUGUGUGAUUUGUUCCAUCUUAUUGCGUUCGCUGAAACACUGGGGUUUGAGAUACCGCUACACCAGUGUGGAUAAUCUGUUCUAUCCUGGGAGGAAAUAAUCCUAAACCUCGGGUACUAGAAAAGGAUUAAAUUCCUUAAGGACACACUGUGUAUUCAGUGAGCUCGGAUUUAAUUUUGUUCUUCCCACGCGUUUUUGUUUCUUUUUAUUUUACAAAGUUUUCUGGUUUCGAACACAAAUUACAAACAAUCUUAAGGAACUUAACAAUUUAUUUUCUGUGUUUAUCUUAACAUCUGACUUUUGAAAAUGAGAAAGAGAAUUCUUAUUGCAAAAAGGUGACUGAUCGAGAGUAAAAUUGAAGAAAUACGUAUGCCUACUUUGUCGAAACAACGGAACGAGUUGGUCCAGAAAAUAUGGGAGACUCAGGUUCGACUGCAUCAUGAGAAUAUUUUCUUUUAAUUUUGCAUUAUGAAAUAUGUAUUAAGAGAUGCAGAUAUCACUCAAAGGUGGUCAUUAGUUUGUCUUGAAUAAUGGAUCAUCAAAGAAAGUUGGGAAUUGCAAACAAGGAAAUCUCGUCUGUUUCUCCCUUUGGUCUUUUGACUAUUAUGAAAAUUAAUUAGUAGAAAAAAAAAGGGAAGGAAAGGUGAAAUCCUUAUAAUUGACUGGGAAGACGUUGGUUGAAAUCAUGAAGACAUGGCAACAGUGAUGCAGAAAAUGCUCUUAAAUGUUGAAAUAUCUCAUCACUGGCUUAGAAAAAUGAUUGGUUAUCAAUUGUGAUGGCCUGUUUCGUUUUGGGGUGUCUGACAAUUUAAAUUUGUUAGAAUUUGUAACCACCCUGAAAUAUUCGUAGGGAUCUUGGCACUGUUGUUAUCAGUUACUGAAGUCUUCAUGGCUUUGCAACAUAUUGGACCAAAGGAUUGACCUUGUUCGUUUAUGGCUUACUUUAAGUUAUCAUUAAAGUGGAUCAAAGUCUCCUAUUUAAUCCCGUUACACAAUGAUUAAAAAGAAAGGCAACAUAAAUGAACAAUGAACAUUUGAACGUGUGGAUUCACUAGUUGGACUGUACAAGUGUUGCAGCGGUUCAUAAGAUUUGCAUCGUUCUGGUAAAUUUCCAAAGGAAUUCUGAAAGGAGCAUUGCUCUCGGUACAUGAAUAUCAAAGUCUUUGUGGGACUAACUCAAUGUCUUCAACAGAAAGUGACAACUAUACCGGGUUAUGCUUUCUUUACUUUAUUUUUGAUUUUCUACCCUGUGUAAUUUAUGAAACUAAGCUUUUGAAUGUUAGGGUAGAGGUUUAUUAUGUGAUGAUCUCAAAAUAUAUCCUAUUUGCAUGCUAGGAAUAGGAUAACAUAUUAUUGAAGGAAAAUUGUUAUUCCGUAUACCAAAUAGAAUUGAUUUGUCAGUAUAUAAUUGGUUAGCAUGCAUAAAAAUAUGUGAUGGUUUAUUUUCAAGGUAUGUAAGAUGUGAAUUAGGCUUACAUUAAUACUUGAAAAUUGUUUUGAGAUCAUAAAUAUAAUAUAUGUAAAGAUGAACAUAUAUGUGUUUGAUUAGAGAAAGAGAUCAAACUGUUUAAAGUGUUAUAAUGGUUUAGUUGAAAAAUCAUUUGGAAAGGGAAUUAAAAUUCUCGUGAUUUUCUACAGCCAUUAUGGAGAAUAAAAUCUUCGUGAUUUUCUACUCCUGCUUCGAGAUCAAAAUUUGCAUGAUUUUUUACUCGUUCGUGGAGAUUAAAGUCUUCGUGACUUUUUACUCAUUUGUGGGAAAUUAAAGUCUAAGUGACUUUAUGCUCGUUUUGGAGAUUAAAAUCUUAGUGAUUUUCUACUCCAAUUCAUUAUUCAGUUUGAAGAUUAAAAACUUCACCAUUUAUUAAAUUUGAUUGUGUCACAUAUUAUUCGGUUUGAAGAUUAAUAAACUUCACCGUUUAUUAAUUCUGAAUGUGUCAUAUUGGUUUGAAGAUUAAAAUUUUUACCAUUUAUUAAUUCUGGCUCUGUCGUGACACAAACAAUAGUUCUUGUGGUUGGCUCAACAACGUAAUAGGGGCAUCGAAUAUGAAUCUCAUUUUGAAGAAAUAUAUUUGGAAUAUGAAAUUAUUCACCAAACGACCGCCCCUUAGUCACCGCAAUCUAAUGAAAUUGCAGAAAGAAAGAAUAGAACGUCAAAGGAGACGAUGAAUGCCUAGUUGAUAAGUUCUGGUUUACCCAAAACUUGGGGGGGGGGGUAGGGGGGGGGGGGUAACUACGCUUACAGCUAACCGAAAACGCAUUCGCGUUUCCCAUAGCAAGACAUAAUCCAUUCAGUAUGAAAAAUGGAAAGGAAGAAAACCCAACUUGAAAUAUUUCCAAGUGUGGGGGGUAUUUGGGUAAAGUGCAAGUUCUUAAACUCAAAAGGAUACAAAUUGGAUCGAAAACCAUUGAUUCCGUUUUCAUAAGAUAUGCAACAAAUAGUAAGGCAUAUCGUUUUCUGAUUCAUAAAUCAGAAAAUAGCGACAUUCAUAUUAAUAUGGUAAUCGAAUCAGAUAAUGUUGAAUUCUUUGAGAAUAUGCAUCCGUAUAAAAAGGAAUGUGAGUCGUCUAGUGAAAUAUCUAAGCGAACUUGGGAAGAAGCAAAGGAAAGUACGUUGAAUUAGGAAAAUCCAAGACAUAGUAAACGUCAAAGGAUAACUAUUUCAUUUGGACCAGAUUUUGUGACUUUCUUAUUGGAAAAUAAGCCUCGAACAUUUAAAGAAGCUAUGUCUUUUUCGUAAUCAUUUUUUUGGAAAGAGGCAGUCAAUAGUGAAAUAGAAUCCAUAUUGAACAACUAUACAUAGGAAUUGAUUGAUCUUCCUCCUAGGAAUAAACCAUUGGGUUCUAAAUGGAUGUUUAAGAGGAAAAUAAAGGAUGAUGACACUAUUGAUAAAUAUAAGUCAAGACUUAUUGUCAAAGGGUAUAGACAAUAAAAAGAUCUUGACUAUUUUAACACGUACUCUUCGGUUAUGAGUAUUACGUACAUAUGGAUGUUAGUAGCAUUGGCUAUGGUGUAUGGUCUUGAAAUCUAUUAAAUGGAUGUGAGGACAAAAUAAUAUUAUCAAAUGGUUUCAAAAUUAAUGAGUGUAAACAAAUGUGUUUACAUUAAGAAUACCUCAAAUCAUAUAAUCGUUAUUUGAUUAUAUGUAGAUGAUAUGUUGAUGAAAUAUUUAAAAUGUGGGGGCUUUUAGCUUAUACAUGACAAAAGUCAAUGUUAGAUGUAAUGUCUAAAUGAUAUAAUUUUUGAACCCUACCCAUCCUUAAUGGAUAUUGAUAUGAUAGUCGGUGAGUUUAUUACUUGUUCAGUCUUAGUGAUGACUAGUGAUGAAACUACACAUUCGAAAAUUGCUUAUGUGCCGUUCCAGAAAUGAUUUGUUCUUUUUUAAACAUUUAUAAUGUUUAGCUCUUUUAUGAAAGGGUGUCACCUGUAAGGCUGUGACUUUUCAUGAAAAGUGUGUUUGUAUGUUUUGUAUAAACAUGACCGUUCAUGAACGAAUGUAUUAAUACGUUGGUCUAUAAUAAGGUGAAUCAACCGAUGAACAUGACCAAAAUUCAUUGCAAGUUGGAUUUAUUUCAUGAAUGAAGGUUCUAUAAUUUGCAUAUCAUAUAGACGUAUGAAUAAAUAGCAUACAAAUGCUUGAAAAUGGCAGAGUUAUUGCAAAAUGUGUUAUAUAUUAAAAGGUUGUGGCCACAAGUGAUGCCAAUCAUUCCUCCUGUUGUUAUAAUAUAUUAUUACUAUAUUAAGCGUAGUCAAUAAUCUGAUAUGCAAUAGAAUGUCGAGACGUAUUAGUCUACAACAUAAGGAAGUUUGCAUUGAAUUGUCAAGACAAUAAAAUGAGUUUUGGGAUAUUUAAAAUAUAUGCAUGACUAUGUAUUGCGCUAUAAUAAUUAUCUUGCUGGUAUUGAAGGGUAUAGUGAUGCAAAUUGAAUCACCGGAUAAACCUAAAAUAAAUCUACAAGUGGAUAUAUUUUUAGAAACAGUGGAGGACCAGUGUCUUGAAAAUCAUUCAAACAAACAUGCAUUACCACUCUACAAUGAAGGAUGAGUUUAUAACCUUAGACAAGGCCGGUGAAGAAGCUGGAUGGCUCCGAAAUUUCUUGAAGAAAUUCCAUCUUAGCCCAAAAUAUUGGCACAUAUAUGCAUGCAUUGUAAUGGUCAAGCGGCAAUAGGCAGGGCUGGGAGCAUUAUGUAUAAUAGAAAAUCUUGUCAUAUACGACGAAGACAUAAAACCGUUCGGCAACUACUCUCUGGGGGAAUUAUCAUAAUUGACUACGUAAAGUCAAGCGAUAAUGUGUCGGAUCCACUUACAAAAGGCCUAACUAGAGAGGUAGUUGAAAGAUCAUCGAUGGGAAUGGGACUAUGGCUGAGGACAAGUCACUGUGGCGGUAACUCUACCUAGAAGACUGGAGAUCCCAAGAUCUAGGUUCAAGGAGAUCAAACAAAGUCAUUUGUGACAGUUCAACAUUGUCAAAUAAAAGUUUGGUUCAUUCUCGUGAUGAGACAAUGUUCAGUACCAAGGAUAAAGCGUAAAGGCUUUUUAAUAGUUUUUAAGUUUGAUACGGGGUAUAUCAAAUUGUUUAUCUACAGGAUAACACAUUUAGGAAUCAUCUAUGUAAGUGUAAAGUGUUAGCCGCUUCAAGGCGAAUUUUGUAAGUCCAAUUCUCUAUGCACUUAUGAAACCAGGCGGUGUUCAUGGCUUAAACGAACACAACAAUGAGAACCAAAGGCAGUUAAGGGUUGAUUGUGUAACUUAUGGUUGUCUAGGUAUACACCAAAGCUCGACGGUUCAAAGAUAUCAAAUCUACCGAUUGAUCGAGUAUAUCCGAUAUAUGUUCGCUACGAAAAGUUCAAAGGGAAACCUACUUAUCCAGAUGCGAUUAAUUCUUACUUGCGAAUCACACAAGUUUUUUGCAUGUUUUUUUAAACAUAUUGCCAUUCCCCAUUCAUGUUGGGGAUUGUUAGGUUUCGUGAAUAGGUGUGAAUGGGAAAUGGAAGAGGCACCUUUUGAAUUGCACCUCUUCAUCUCACCCUUUUAUUGUCUAUAAAUUUUAGAGGCUUAGCCUCAUUUUCAUACAUGGAAAAAAUUCAGAAAUUCUCCCAGUCUUCUUUGCAUUAUUUUUCCAAAACAAAAUAUAAGUGUCAUGUGUGAUUUGCUCCGCCUUAUUGCGUUCGCUGAAACACUGGGGUUUGAGGUACCGCUACACCAGUGUGGAUAAUCCGUUCUAUCCUUGGAGGAAAUAAUCCUAAACCUCGGGUACUAGAAGGGGAUUAAGUUCCUUAGGGACAAACUGUAAAUUCAAUGGGCAAGGAUUUAAUUUUGUUCUUCCUAUGCAUUUCUGUUUCUCCUUUACUUUACAAACUUUUCUGGUUUCGAACACAGAUUACAAACAAUUUUGUCGUACAGAUUCUGUGUCUUGCAUUGUUUUUGUCAUAAGGGAACAUUAGCCCAUUCUCUGCAAAUAUUUCUUUGGUUUUUACUAGUCUUAUCUGAUU
rnacentral:lncRNA from 1 species